UUGAUUCACACAACAGUUUUUCAGUUGUCUAUUGUGUGACUUUAUUUCAGACAAUGUAUUGAAAUUGACGUUGUCUGAGUUUUAGGGUUCAAUAGUUUGCUCAGCCCGCCUAAUUUUUUGGUCGAAAGUUAAACUUCCCACUUUUUCUUCCCACACAUAUUCGCACUGCAAUUUUGCUCGCCCGCCUCUAUUUUUCAGUUGACCUCUCUCUCUCGUUGUGCAUCUCUUCCCUCUUUUUGAAGUUUGCUAUGAAAACCCACGAGAUUGAGCUGAGAAAAGAAAACAAAGAAACAAAAAAAACUCUCCCAAAACCUGUCUCUCUCGUCCUCCCUCUCAAUCCAUCAUAGCAAACAUCGAAAUUCCCCUACCCGUGUAAUCGUCGGAUCUUCCACCUUCGAAUUUCCGAUGGCGUUUCCCAACACAAACCUCACGCUCUCUCUCUCUCUACCCUCUCCCUCGCCCUCUUCGACUUCUCUCCUGUCGACAACGUCUUCGACUACGGCUCCAACGUGGACUCCACCUUCGACGAUGGCGGCCACUUCAUUCUGGACUCGUCCAUUUCAGAUCGCUCAAUUUCACUCUGAAACCAAAACCCCAAUCCCGAUUCCCCCCAAAUUUACCAAACCGCUAGGGUUUUCCAGCGGUCAUCCAGUAUGAGUUCCAGAUCCGCGAGCCGGGGACCCACAUGCUGGAGACUACAUCACCGCCUUGAGCUUGCUGGAUUGCAAUACCUUGGUAGACCAGUGAGUCCAGUGAGUUGACUCCCCCUCUCCCUCCUCCUCCAGUCCUCCCUUCCCAACCAAAAAGGUUGGAGCUAAAUCA